rnacentral:piRNA from 1 species
UGCUAUAGGCGUUAAGUCCCCUACAAUGAA